AGAGUUUGAUCCUGGCUCAGGACGAACGCUGGCGGCGUGCUUAACACAUGCAAGUCGAACGAUGAACCACUUCGGUGGGGAUUAGUGGCGAGCGGGUGAGUAACACGUGGGCAAUCUGCCCUUCACUCUGGGACAAGCCCUGGAAACGGGGUCUAAUACCGGAUAACACUCCUGCCUGCAUGGGCGGGGGUUAAAAGCUCCGGCGGUGAAGGAUGAGCCCGCGGCCUAUCAGCUUGUUGGUGAGGUAGUGGCUCACCAAGGCGACGACGGGUAGCCGGCCUGAGAGGGCGACCGGCCACACUGGGACUGAGACACGGCCCAGACUCCUACGGGAGGCAGCAGUGGGGAAUAUUGCACAAUGGGCGAAAGCCUGAUGCAGCGACGCCGCGUGAGGGAUGACGGCCUUCGGGUUGUAAACCUCUUUCAGCAGGGAAGAAGCGAAAGUGACGGUACCUGCAGAAGAAGCGCCGGCUAACUACGUGCCAGCAGUCGCGGUAAUACGUAGGGCGCAAGCGUUGUCCGGAAUUAUUGGGCGUAAAGAGCUCGUAGGCGGCUUGUCACGUCGGGUGUGAAAGCCCGGGGCUUAACCCCGGGUCUGCAUUCGAUACGGGCUAGCUAGAGUGUGGUAGGGGAGAUCGGAAUUCCUGGUGUAGCGGUGAAAUGCGCAGAUAUCAGGAGGAACACCGGUGGCGAAGGCGGAUCUCUGGGCCAUUACUGACGCUGAGGAGCGAAAGCGUGGGGAGCGAACAGGAUUAGAUACCCUGGUAGUCCACGCCGUAAACGGUGGGAACUAGGUGUUGGCGACAUUCCACGUCGUCGGUGCCGCAGCUAACGCAUUAAGUUCCCCGCCUGGGGAGUACGGCCGCAAGGCUAAAACUCAAAGGAAUUGACGG
rnacentral:rRNA from 1 species